CCGGCUCAAGGUGAUGGCGUGCCACCUUUCCUAACCGCCGGUGGGCUUAACACCGGCUGAUGACGCCUGACACUCA
rnacentral:ncRNA from 2 species